rfam:Pseudomonas denitrificans ATCC 13867, complete genome.
UUCGGGCGCACAACGAUUGUUUCGUUGUCCCCUGCAAGCCGUCGCCGACGCACUUCCCAUUCGAAUUCCAAGCGAUCCUGUCCGUCAUCUACGGCGCGGC